rnacentral:piRNA from 1 species
UGAAUAUGGAGGGCACGAAAAUGACUG